rnacentral:rRNA from 1 species
ACGGAAGGCAGCAGUGAGGAAUAUUGGUCAAUGGACGCAAGUCUGAACCAGCCAUGCCGCGUGCAGGAAUAAGGCCCUAUGGGUCGUAAACUGCUUUUGUGGUGGAGCAAUAAGUCGUACGUGUACGGCGAUGAGAGUACAUCACGAGUAAGCAUCGGCUAACUCCGUGCCAGCAGCCGCGGUAAUACGGAGGAUGCAAGCGUUAUCCGGAUUUAUUGGGUUUAAAGGGUGCGUAGGCUGUGGUCCAAGUCAGGGGUGAAAGCCCGGAGCUCAACUCCGGAACUGCCUUUGAUACUGGAUUGCUGGAAUACGGAUGCCGUGGGAGGAAUGAGUAGUGUAGCGGUGAAAUGCAUAGAUAUUACUCAGAACACCGAUUGCGAAGGCAUCUCACGAAUCCGUCAUUGACGCUGAGGCACGAAAGCGUGGGGAUCAAACAGGAUUAGAUACCCUGGUA